GCUCAGAGGGCACCAAGGGGCCCACCGCCCCCGUCGUCCUCUUCCUCCUCACAAGCCCCACUUCCAUCCAGCACUGAUGGUCUUAACCUAGUUGGCUCAUGAAACAUCUGCAAGAAAACUACCAAGCUCAGAGAGCACCGAAGACCCCCUCAUUUCAACCCCAAGCGAAAAUUAUUCUUUGCUUUGCUUCCAUUCUUUAGCAGAAAUAUGUGGUGCAAGACACACACACACACACCCAAAAAAAGCAGGCAACAUUAGCAGACCUCACCAAAGCCACUACAAUAAACCAGAGGCCACUUCAGUGGCAGAAGAAGGCAGUGUAUGCAGUCAAGGACAAACUGUUUCUACCCUGUAUCAACCAACAUUUGUUUCUCCUAAUAAGACGCUCGUGGCAAAACCUGCCAACUCCACUCGGACCUCUCAAGUCUAGUGACAAACAACUGAAUUCCAGGAACGCUCUUGAGUUUACAUUUUGAAUAGUUAUACAAAAACAACCCACCGUACCUGGUUUAAUCCUUUCGGGAUGUUCUACACACAAUUGCCUUCGUUUUCCCCUGAAAGAUCCAGGAGGACCCGCAGUUUCCAGAACGCCGGAAGAAUUUCACUCACUGGAGAAGCCGCAUCUGCAGGAUGGAACUUCAGGAUAUGGUGAUUCCAUGGAGAAGCCAUGACAGUUAAAAAAGAUUUGAAAAGCGAGGAGGUCUCAUCUUUAUCUGCAGAGAGGCUCCAUCAUCUGGUGCUUUUUUCAAGAGGCAACUGGACUUCCUGGUUUUUCCUUUUGAAGACAAUUCGCUUCUCAUCCAAGAAGCUCCUUCAGCUCCCGCCUUUCUCCUUCCGGCCAUCACUUUUAUUUCCCAACUUCUCAACUGAAAAAUCAGCCACCUAAUGACUCAGGGACCACCCGAGAGUCACUUUCCACCCAGGGGCUGAAACCCCACCCCACCCCACCCCCAGCCAAGGUAGUUGUGUGAUCACAAUUGGCCUGUAUCUACAGCCCCUUUGCACAGGAGUGCAACAGAAGCUGUUUAAACUGGUCUUUAUUUCUGAUGUCCAGUAAAAAAUGCCCUUUGGGUACAAUGGGUUCACUUAACAACUGUGGCAUUAACAACUGUGUUUACUGACCCCCCCUGCAGUAAAGGUUUUGAAAUCA